ensembl:lncRNA
AUGGCACACGGGUGGCACACAGGUAGCACAGGUGUGGCACACGGGUGGCACAGGGGGUGGCACAGGUGGCACACGGGUGGCACACAGGUAGCACAGGUGUGGCACACGGGUGGCACACAGGUGACACAGGAGUGGCACAGGCGGCACACAGGUGGCACAGGGGGUGGCACAGGUGUCCCCCGCGUCCCAUCCGUCUCGUCCCCGUCACUCUGGCGGAGCCUCCAGGGGGCGCUGCAGCUCCUGCAGCUCCUCUGCCAACCUGGGGGCGGGGCCAGAGGAAGGGGUGGGGCUGCAGGUGGGCGGGGCCCAGGUGCCAGGGCCACACCUGUCCCACACCUGUCCCACACCUGUCCUGGGGGGUCCCACACCUGUCCUGGGGGUCACACACCUGUCCUGGGGGGGGGUCACACACCUGUCCUGGGGGUCACACACCUGUCCUGGGGGGGGGUCACACACCUGUCCUGGGGGUCACACACCUGUCCUGGGGGGGGGUCACACACCUGUCCUGGGGGGGUCACACACCUGUCCUGGGGGUCAGACCCGUGUCCUGGGGGUCACACACCUGUCCUGGGGGGGUCACACACCUGUCCUGGGGGGUCACACACCUGUCCUGGGGGUCCCACACCUGUCCUGGGGGUCACACACCUGUCCUGGGGGGGGGUCACACACCUGUACUGGGGGGGUCACACACCUGUCUGGGGGGGUCACACACCUGUCCUGGGGGUCCCACACCUGUCCUGGGGGUCACACACCUGUCCUGGGGGGGUCACACACCUGUCCUGGGGGGGGGGUCACACACCUGUCCUGGGGGGGGUCACACACCUGUCCUGGGGGGGUCACACACCUGUCCUGGGGGUCACACCCGUGACCUGGGGGUCACACACGUGUCCUGGGGGUCACACACCUGUCCUGGGGGGGUCACACACCUGUCCUGGGGGUCACACACCUGUCGGGGGGGGUCACACACCUGUCCUGGGGGUCACACACCUGUCCUGGGGGGGUCACACACCUGUACUGGGGGGGUCACACACCUGUCCUGGGGGUCACACACCUGUCCUGGGGGGGGGUCACACACCUGUCCUGGGGGUCCCACACCUGUCUGGGGGGGUCCCACACCUGUCCUGGGGGUCACACACCUGUCCUGGGGGGGUCACACACCUGUCCGGGGGGGGUCACACACCUGUCCUGGGGGUCACACACCUGUCCUGGGGGGGUCACACACCUGUCCUGGGGGGUCACACACCUGUCUGGGGGGGUCACACACCUGUCCUGGGGGUCACACACCUGUCCUGGGGGGGUCACACACCUGUCCUGGGGGUCACACACCUGUCCUGGGGGGGUCACACACCUGUCCUGGGGGGGGGUCACACACCUGUCCUGGGGGUCACACACCUGUCCUGGGGGGGUCACACACCUGUCCUGGGGGGGGGUCACACACCUGUCCGGGGGGGGUCACACACCUGUCUGGGGGGGUCACACACCUGUCCUGGGGGGAGUCACACACCUGUCCUGGGGGUCACACACCUGUCCUGGGGGGGUCACACACCUGUCCGGGGGGGGUCACACACCUGUCCUGGGGGUCACACACCUGUCCUGGGGGGGGUCACACACCUGUCCUGGGGGUCACACACCUGUCCUGGGGGUCACACACCUGUCCUGGGGGGGGUCACACACCUGUCCUGGGGGGGUCACACACCUGUCUGGGGGGGUCACACACCUGUCCUGGGGGGGGUCACACACCUGUACUGGGGGUCACACACCUGUCCUGGGGGGGUCACACACCUGUCCUGGGGGGGUCACACACCUGUCCUGGGGGUCACACACCUGUCCUGGGGGGGGGUCACACACCUGUCCUGGGGGGGGUCACACACCUGUACUGGGGGUCACACACCUGUCCUGGGGGGGGUCACACACCUGUCCUGGGGGGGUCACACACCUGUACUGGGGGGGUCACACACCUGUCCUGGGGGGGGUCACACACCUGUACUGGGGGUCACACACCUGUCCUGGGGGGGUCACACACCUGUCCUGGGGGUCACACACCUGUCCUGGGGGGGGGUCACACACCUGUCCUGGGGGUCACACACCUGUACUGGGGGUCACACACCUGUCCUGGGGGGGGGUCACACACCUGUCCUGGGGGGGGUCACACACCUGUACUGGGGGUCACACACCUGUCCUGGGGGGGGUCACACACCUGUCCUGGGGGGGUCACACACCUGUACUGGGGGGGUCACACACCUGUCCUGGGGGGGGUCACACACCUGUACUGGGGGUCACACACCUGUCCUGGGGGGGUCACACACCUGUCCUGGGGGUCACACACCUGUCCUGGGGGGGGGUCACACACCUGUCCUGGGGGUCACACACCUGUCUCGGCGCUGCAGGCUCAGCUGCCGCCGGCUCAGCUCCGCCUCCAGACGUUGCUCCGCCCCCUCCUGCUCCUGCCGCACCAAUCCCCUGCGGGAACGGGGGUUAGGGGGCGGGGCCGUGCCGGAGGGGGCGGGGCCGGAGCUGGGCACUCACAUGACCACGGGGACCUCUGCUCCCAGGUGCUCCUCGGCCUCCGUCAGGCAGCGCUCUGGGCAAGGGGGGGACACUGGUCAGCCCAAGGGGACAUAUCUGGCGAUGGGGGGGGCUACGGUGUCCGGGGGGUCACUCAGGGGCUUGUGA